rnacentral:misc_RNA from 1 species
AAGGCUUGACAUAUACCGACCUUGCGGGGCGACUGUUUCCAGCCGUUUCCGGUAUAUGUCAAGCCUUGGUAAGGUUCUUCGCGUUGCAUCGAAUUAAUCCGCAUGCUCCGCCGCUUGUGCGGGCCCCCGUCAAUUCCUUUGAGUUUUAAUCUUGCGACCGUACUCCCCAGGCGGAGUGCUUCACGCGUUAGCUGCGGCACCGACAUGCAUGCAUGCCGACGCCUAGCACUCAUCGUUUACGGCGUGGACUAC